GGAAUUGGCCUCCCCUAAUUGUGAGGGUGAUGGGUCCUUUUAUAGAAUAAGGACUCCUCACUUAUUACAUAUUUGUCCCUUCCUUUAUCACAUAAUUACAUUUAAGUCCCUCAAGUAUUUGUACUAGGUCUAAAUACGAGGCCCUAAAUAUGGUAUAAACAUAACAGUUUUGAUUUUUCAAACCAAUUAUAUGCACUAGGGAAUAAAAAUUACAAUGUUACUAUGAAGUUUAUGUCAUAUAUGGCACAUAAUAUGAACUAUACAUAAAUUGUAAUACAUAAACAAUAGCUGGUUCCAAAAUCAACUCAUUUUUUCUCUCGUAUCUUAUCUUAUCUCAAUGUACUUUAAUUUUUAUAAUAAUACAUGUUGAUGCACAA
rnacentral:lncRNA from 1 species